rnacentral:rRNA from 1 species
GUCGUAACAAGGUCUCCGUAGGUGAACCUGCGGAGGGAUCAUUACACAAAUAUGAAGGCGGGCUGGAACCUCUCGGGGUUACAGCCUUGCUGAAUUAUUCGCCCUUGUCUUUUGCGUACUUCUUGUUUCCUUGGUGGGUUCGCCCACCACUAGGACAAACAUAAACCUUUUGUAAUUGCAAUCAGCGUCAGUAACAAAUUAAUAAUUACAACUUUCAACAACGGAUCUCUUGGUUCUGGCAUCGAUGAAGAACGCAGCGAAAUGCGAUAAGUAGUGUGAAUUGCAGAAUUCAGUGAAUCAUCGAAUCUUUGAACGCACAUUGCGCCCUUUGGUAUUCCAAAGGGCAUGCCUGUUCGAGCGUCAUUUGUACCCUCAAGCUUUGCUUGGUGUUGGGCGUCUUGUCUCUAGCUUUGCUGGAGACUCGCCUUAAAGUAAUUGGCAGCCGGCCUACUGGUUUCGGAGCGCAGCACAAGUCGCACUCUCUAUCAGCAAAGGUCUAGCAUCCAUUAAGCCUUUUUUUCAACUCUUGACCUCGGAUCAGGUAGGGAUACCCGCUGAACUUA